rnacentral:rRNA from 1 species
GACGAACGCUGGCGGCGUGUCUAAUACAUGCAAGUAGAACGCACAGUUUAUACCGUAGCUUGCUACACCAUAGACUGUGAGUUGCGAACGGGUGAGUAACGCGUAGGUAACCUGCCUGGUAGUGGGGGAUAACUAUUGGAAACGAUAGCUAAUACCGCAUAAUAUUGAUUAUUGCAUGAUAAUUGAUUGAAAGAUGCUAUUGCAUCACUACCAGAUGGACCUGCGUUGUAUUAGCUAGUAGGUGAGGUAACGGCUCACCUAGGCGACGAUACAUAGCCGACCUGAGAGGGUGAUCGGCCACACUGGGACUGAGACACGGCCCAGACUCCUACGGGAGGCAGCAGUAGGGAAUCUUCGGCAAUGGACGAAAGUCUGACCGAGCAACGCCGCGUGAGUGAAGAAGGUUGUCGGAUCGUAAAGCUCUGUUGUAAGAGAAGAACGGGUGUGAGAGUGGAAAGUUCACACUGUGACGGUAUCUUACCAGAAAGGGACGGCUAACUACGUG